GGGAAUGCGGAGCUUACACAUGCAGUCGAACGGCAACAUGAUCUGUAGCAAUACUGUGGGUGGCGAGUGGCGGACGGGUGAGGAAUACAUCGGAAUCUACCUUGUCGUGGGGGAUAACGUAGGGAAACUUACGCUAAUACCGCAUACGAACUACGGUUGAAAGCGGCGGACCGCAAGGCGUCGCGCGAUUGGAUGAGCCGAUGUCCGAUUAGCUAGUUGGCGGGGUAAAGGCCCACCAAGGCGACGAUCGGUAGCUGGUCUGAGAGGAUGAUCAGCCACACUGGAACUGAGACACGGUCCAGACUCCUACGGGAGGCAGCAGUGGGGAAUAUUGGACAAUGGGCGCAAGCCUGAUCCAGCCAUGCCGCGUGUGUGAAGAAGGCCUUCGGGUUGUAAAGCACUUUUGUCCGGAAAGAAAAGCAUUCGGUUAAUACCCGGGUGUCCUGACGGUACCGGAAGAAUAAGCACCGGCUAACUUCGUGCCAGCAGCCGCGGUAAUACGAAGGGUGCAAGCGUUACUCGGAAUUACUGGGCGUAAAGCGUGCGUAGGUGGUGAGUUAAGUCUGUCGUGAAAGCCCCGGGCUCAACCUGGGAAUGGCGAUGGAUACUGGCUCGCUAGAGUGCGGUAGAGGAGAGUGGAAUUCCCGGUGUAGCAGUGAAAUGCGUAGAGAUCGGGAGGAACAUCAGUUGCGAAGGCGGCUCUCUGGACCAGCACUGACACUGAGGCACGAAAGCGUGGGGAGCAAACAGGAUUAGAUACCCUGGUAGUCCACGCCCUAAACGAUGCGAACUGGACGUUGGGAGCAACUAGGCUCUCAGUGUCGGAGCUAACGCGUUAAGUUCGCCGCCUGGGGAGUACGGUCGCAAGACUGAAACUCAAAGGAAUUGACGGGGGCCCGCACAAGCGGUGGAGUAUGUGGUUUAAUUCGAUGCAACGCGAAGAACCUUACCUGGUCUUGACAUCCACGGAAUCCUUCAGAGAUGAGGAGUGCCUUCGGGAACCGUGAGACAGGUGCUGCAUGGCUGUCGUCAGCUCGUGUCGUGAGAAUGUUGGGUUAAGUCCCCGCAACGAGCGCAACCCUUGUUCUUUAGUUGCCAGGCGAGUAAAGUCGGGAACUUCUA
rnacentral:rRNA from 1 species